GCCGGGUGGAAAAGAUGCCUCCCAGGUCAAAGGGGUUAGAGCUGAAGACAGGCAGGAGAGGUGCUGGGCACACAGUCGCCAGUGUUAUACCCUGCUUGUCAGACCUCCAAGACUUAAGGUCUCUUACUAAAUUACCAUAAUGCUGAGAGGCCCACAAAUGGCCCUUAUUCCACCACCCCAGCACUUCCCGGGGCAAGGCCGGGCAUCGAUAAGUACAGAACACCCAACAGAGCAGUUCAUCAUAGGAAGCAAAGAGGGGUAAAGCCAUUUAGGGAGAAGACUGAGGCUUUGAGUGGUCAGGACCAGCACAACACCACAGAUGGAUAGUGAUGGGGCUGCCACCCCACCGCACCGUCACUGUCUGUCUGGAUGCCUGGGUGUGUGUGCAUGCGCGCGUGCAUGCGCACACACACACUUCUAGGAAGGAGAAAGAGCAUCACCCCGUCCCUCUGCACCUUCUCAGGUUGACAGUUGACAAAGGAUGGUCCCAAAGGCUCCCUUGCCUUGCAGCCGGGUUGUCUGGUCCCAUGUCCUCCUGUUCCUGCUGGAAGCUCCUCCACCCAUGUCUCACUCCCCACACUCUGCGUGAUGUCUACUUUCUGCCGCAGUUUUGGUCCAAGGUCACUUCAUCCAGACAGGCCUCAUUGAGGACUGUCCUGUGAUUUAAAGAAGCUAACCUUUGCAUUUUGAGAUAAUCACAGGUUCCCAUGCAGUUGUUUACCUAUUUUCCCCCAGUGGUAACAUGUUACAAAACUGUAGAGCCAUACACAGCCAGGAUGUUGAUACUGUUACAGCCCAGAUACAGAACAUCCCAUCCUGGAAGCAUCCUUCAUGCCCUUUUAUAGCCACACCCUCUCUCUGUCCAUCCCAUCCUCUCCCUAACCUCUGAUAAUCACAAACCUGUUCUCUAUUUGACUAAUUUUGUCAUUUCAAGAAUGUUACAUGAAUGAAAUCACACCAUAUACAACUCUCUGGAGAUCCACCAGGUUGUUGCAUGCCUUACUAGGUCCUUCCUUUUUAUUGCCAAAUAGUGUUCCAUGGUGUGGAUGGACCACAGUGUGAUUAAUGAUUCGCUUGUUACGGGACAUCUGGGUUGUCUGCAGUAUUAUAAGUAAAACUGCAGUAAACAUUUGCAUAUAGAAUUUUGUAUGAAUGUCAGUUCUUAUUUCUCUGGGAUAAAGGUCCAGGAGUACAGUUACUGGGUCAAAUGAUAGUUGCAUGGUCAGUCUUUUUUAAAGAAACUGUCAGACUGUUUUCUAGAGUGGCUGUACCUUUCAUAUUUCCACCAGCAAUGUGCUAGCAAUCCAGUUAAUCUGCAUCCUCCAGUUUGGUGUUGCAUUAUUUUUUAUUUUAACCAUUCUGGUAAGUGUUUAUGCCACCUAAUUGUGAUUUUACUUUGCAUUUCUCUAAUGGUUAAUGAUGCUAAACUUCUGUUUAUGUGCUUAUUUGCUAUCUAUAUGUCUUUUUCAGUGAAAUGCCUGUUCAUGUCUUUUGCCCAUUUUCUAAUUGGUUUGUUUGAUUUUUUUCGCUGUUGAGUUUUGAGAGCUCUUUCUAUACUUGAUACUAGUUUUUGUUGGAGAUGAGGUUUAUAAGUAUUUUCUCCCAGUUGGUAACUUGUCUUUACAUCUUUUAAAUACGGUCUUUCUCAGAAUCAAAGUUUUUCAUUUUGAUGUAGUCCAAUUUAUUAUUUUUAUUUUAUGCAUUGUUUUGGUGUUUAAGAACUCUUUGCCUGAACCUAGAUCCCAAAGAUUUUCUCCUGUUUUCUUUCCUAAAUGAUUUGUUGUUUUACCUUUAAAUCCAUGAUUCAUUUUGAGUUAAUUUUUGCAUAAGGCAUGAGACUUAGAGUUUUUUUUUCUGCCUAUGGGUGUCUCAUUGUUUCAGCAUCAUUUUUUGAAAAAACUAUUCUUCCUCUACUGAAGUGCUUUGUAUCUACAUCAAAAAUCAGUUGGACAUAUUUAUGUGGGUAUAAUUCCAGAUUUUCUCUCUGUUCCAUUGAUCUCUGUGUCUGUCCCUUUGCCAAUAACAAACAAUACUGAUUACUAUAGCUAUAAUUAUUCUUGAAAUUACAUAGACCAACUUUUUUCUUUCAUAAUAUUUUAACUGGUGUAAUUCCUCUGCCUUUCUAAAAUUUUUAGACUAAUUUUGUUUAUGCCUACAAAAAUUCUUGCUAGAAUAUGAAUAAGAAUUGCCUCAAAUUUGUAUAACAUGGUAAUAAGUAACAUCUUUAUUAUAAGUGUUCCAGUCCAUGAACAUGAUGUAUCUCUCCAUUUUAAAAUAUCUUGUUUGAUUUUUUCAUCAGCAUUUUGUAGUUUUCCAUAUACAAGCUCUGUACAUAUUUUUGUUAGAUUUACACCUAAAUGUUUACUUUGGUUAGAACAACUGUAAAUGAUAUAAUAUUUUUAAUUUUGGUGUCCAUAUGUUCAUUGGUAAAAUAGAGAAAUAAAAUUUACGUUUGUAUGUUUAUCUUAGACCCUGCAACCUUGCUGAACUCACUGUUUUGGGAAUGUUUUUGUUGAUGCCUUGGGAUUUCCUAUGAAGACAAUUAUGUUUUCUGUAAAUGGGGACAGUUUUAUUUUUCCUUUCCAAUCUGCAUGCCUUUUAUUUCCUUUGACUUACCACACUGGCUAGAAUUUCCAGAACUAUGUUGAAUAACAGUGGUGAAAGCAAACAUCUUUAUAUUAUUCUUGAUCUUAAGGGGAAAGCUUUAAAUCUUUAACCAUUAGUUAUAAUGUUAGCUAUAGGUUUCUUACAGAAGUUCUUUAUCAAGUUGAGGAAGUUGCCCUCUAUUCCUAUGUUUCUGGUAGUUUUUAAAAUCACAAAUGGAUGUUGAAUUCUGCUAGGUGCUUUUUCCACAUCAAUUGGCAUGAUCAUGUGAUUUUUCUUAUUUAGUCUGUUAAUGUGGUGUACUACAUUGACUGAAUUUAAAGUAUUGAGCCAGACUUGCAUGCCUGGGGUAAACCCACUUUGACAUAGUGCAUAUGUUUUAAAACAUAUUGUUGAAUUCUAUUUGCUAAUGUUUUGUUAAAAGAUUUUUGCAUCUAAAUUUAUGAGGGAUAUUGG